rnacentral:rRNA from 1 species
UACGGAGGAUCCAAGCGUUAUCCGGAAUCAUUGGGCGUAAAGCGCACGUAGGCGGUUCGUUAUGUCGGAUGUGAAAGCCCUUGGCUUAACCGAGGAAGUGCAUCCGAAACUGGCGAGCUAGAGUACGAAAGAGGAUCGCGGAAUUCCCGGUGUAGAGGUGAAAUUCGUAGAUAUCGGGAGGAACACCGGUGGCGAAGGCGGCGAUCUGGGUAGAUACUGACGCUGAGGUGCGAAAGCGUGGGGAGCAAACAGG